GUGCCUGCUUUGGUAGCACAUAUACUAAACUUGGAAUGAUAAAGGGAAGACUAGAAUGGUCUCUGUGCAAGGAUGACAUGCAAAUUUGUGAAGCAUUCCAUAUUUUU
rnacentral:snRNA from 1 species